rnacentral:rRNA from 1 species
AUUGAACGCUGGCGGCAUGCCUUACACAUGCAAGUCGAACGGCAGCACGGGAGCAAUCCUGGUGGCGAGUGGCGAACGGGUGAGUAAAGUAUCGGAACGUGCCCAGUCGUGGGGGAUAACGUAGCGAAAGUUACGCUAAUACCGCAUACGAUCUAUGGAUGAAAGCGGGGGAUGGCAAGACCUCGCGCGAUUGGAGCGGCGGAUAUCAGAUUAGGUAGUUGGUGGGGUAAAGGCUCACCAAGCCGACGAUCUGUAGCUGGUCUGAGAGGACGACCAGCCACACUGGGACUGAGACACGGCCCAGACUCCUACGGGAGGCAGCAGUGGGGAAUUUUGGACAAUGGGCGCAAGCCUGAUCCAGCCAUGCCGCGUGCAGGAUGAAGGCCUUCGGGUUGUAAACUGCUUUUGUACGGAACGAAAAGGUUUGACUUAAUACGUUGGACUCAUGACGGUACCGUAAGAAUAAGCACCGGCUAACUACGUGCCAGCAGCCGCCGUAA